rnacentral:rRNA from 1 species
UAGGGAAUCUUCGGCAAUGGGGGGAACCCUGUCCGAGCAACGCCGCGCGAGUGAAGAAGGUUUUCGGAUCGUAAAGCUCUGUUGUUAAGGAAGAACGAGUGUGAGAAUGGAAAGUUCAUACUGUGACGGUACUUAACAAGAAAGGGACGGCUAACUACUUGCCAGCAUCCGCUGUAAUACGUAGGUCCCGAGCGAUUUCCGGAUUUAUUGGGCGUAAAGCGAGCGCAGGCGGUUAGAUAAGUCUGAAGUUAAAGGCAGUGGCUCAACCAUUGUAGGCUUUGGAAACUGUUUAACUUGAGUGCAAGAGGGGAGAGUGGAAUUCCAUGUGUAGCGGUAAAAUGCGUAGAUAUAUGGAGGAACACCGGUGGAGAAAGCGGCUCUCUGGUCUGUAACUGACGCUGAGGCUAGAAAGCGUGGGGAGCGAACAGG